GACGAACGCUGGCGGCGUGCUUAACACAUGCAAGUCGAACGAUGAAGCCCAGCUUGCUGGGCGGAUUAGUGGCGAACGGGUGAGUAAUACGUGAGUAACCUGCCUUUAACUCUGGGAUAAGCCUUGGAAACGGGGUCUAAUACCGGAUACGACCAACCCUCGCAUGRGGUGUUGGUGGAAAGGGAUUUUGUACUGGUUUUAGAUGGGCUCACGGCCUAUCAGCUUGUUGGUGAGGUAACGGCUCACCAAGGCGACGACGGGUAGCCGGCCUGAGAGGGUGACCGGCCACACUGGGACUGAGACACGGCCCAGACUCCUACGGGAGGCAGCAGUGGGGAAUAUUGCACAAUGGGCGCAAGCCUGAUGCAGCGACGCCGCGUGAGGGAUGACGGCCUUCGGGUUGUAAACCUCUUUCAGCAGGGGAGAAGCGAAAGUGACGGUACCUGCAGAAGAAGCGCCGGCUAACUACGUGCCAGCAGCCGCGGUAAUACGUAGGGCGCGAGCGUUGUCCGGAAUUAUUGGGCGUAAAGAGCUUGUAGGCGGUUUGUCGCGUCUGCUGUGAAAGCCCGGGGCUUAACCCCGGGUUUGCAGUGGGUACGGGCAGACUAGAGUGCAGUAGGGGAGACUGGAAUUCCUGGUGUAGCGGUGAAAUGCGCAGAUAUCAGGAGGAACACCRAUGGCGAAGGCAGGUCUCUGGGCUGUAACUGACGCUGAGAAGCGAAAGCAUGGGGAGCAAACAGGAUUAGAUACCCUGGUAGUCCAUGCCGUAAACGUUGGGCACUAGGUGUGGGGAACAUUCCACGUUUUCCGCGCCGUAGCUAACGCAUUAAGUGCCCCGCCUGGGGAGUACGGCCGCAAGGCUAAAACUCAAAGAAAUUGACGGGGGCCCGCACAAGCGGCGGAGCAUGCGGAUUAAUUCGAUGCA
rnacentral:rRNA from 1 species